AUGAACGCUGGCGGCGUGCCUAAUACAUGCAAGUCGAGCGAACAGACGAGGAGCUUGCUCCUCUGACGUUAGCGGCGGACGGGUGAGUAACACGUGGAUAACCUACCUAUAAGACUGGGAUAACUUCGGGAAACCGGAGCUAAUACCGGAUAAUAUAUUGAACCGCAUGGUUCAAUAGUGAAAGACGGUUUUGCUGUCACUUAUAGAUGGAUCCGCGCCGCAUUAGCUAGUUGGUAAGGUAACGGAUUACCAAGGCAACGAUGCGUAGCCGACCUGAGAGGGUGAUCGGCCACACUGGAACUGAGACACGGUCCAGACUCCUACGGGAGGCAGCAGUAGGGAAUCUUCCGCAAUGGGCGAAAGCCUGACGGAGCAACGCCGCGUGAGUGAUGAAGGUCUUCGGAUCGUAAAACUCUGUUAUUAGGGAAGAACAAAUGUGUAAGUAACUAUGCACGUCUUGACGGUACCUAAUCAGAAAGCCACGGCUAACUACGUG
rnacentral:rRNA from 1 species